UUUCUGACUUGGUGUACUGUUUUGAAUAUGUGAUUAAUUCGGACAAUUGACAGGCGGCAUAUACUUAUGAUGCGGGGCCAAAUGCUGUACUGUUUGCGCGUAAUAGAAAGGUUGCUACCCUUUUGCUUCAGAGGCUGCUUUUCUACUUCCCUCCAAAUGCAUCUUCGGGUUUGGAUAGUUACUUCCAUGGUGAUAGGUCAAUUCUAAAAGAUGCUGGGCUUGAGGGGAUGAGGGACGUGGAAGAUUUGCCACCACCUCCAGAAAUCAAGGAUAGCAUUCCUUGCCAGAAAUACAAAGGGGAUGUUAGUUAUUUCAUCUGCACGAGACCUGGCAGAGGCCCAGUUUUGCUUUCUGAUUAGAGUCAGUCUCUUCUCAACCCCCAAACCGGGCAGCCUAAGUAAAUUUGGAUUAAUUGUUAUCUUGGGCUAAUCUUCCUUGUCUCUAUGAGCCUGGAGUAUUUCAAUCAGAUAUCUUCUACACUGUGCCUGUGCUCAUUGUAAAAUGACUAUCUGAAAGAAUUUGCUGCUUGUGUUGCUUAUCUCAUGUAAUUGUAAUUUAUUUAUUUAUUUAUUUUUUUAUCUUUCUUUCUCCUGGAUAAUUUAAUAGGGUUUAUGUGCUCUCAUUGUCUUUUGAGAGGGUUAAAAAUUAGAUUGUAUUGUCUUUUGAGAAUUUCAGCUGUAACUUGGAAGGCUUGUAACUGUUUGGGUCUAUGCCCGUUAAUUGUUUGAAUAAGAAAUAUUAUUUUCUUUU